AGAGUGAACGCUGGCGGUAGGCCUAACACAUGCAAGUCGAACGGCAGCACAGGAGAGCUUGCUCUCUGGGUGGCGAGUGGCGGACGGGUGAGGAAUACAUCGGAAUCUACCUUUUCGUGGGGGAUAACGUAGGGAAACUUACGCUAAUACCGCAUAAGACCUUCGGGUGAAAGCCGGGGACCUUCGGCCGUCGCGGCGG
rnacentral:rRNA from 1 species